GAGGAAUAGAGAUCCACAAGGCAGCAACUAACAAAAUUUCAUUUCUGCCACUGCUCAGUAGUCUUCUUUACUAAUACUUGAAAACGCCUCUCAUGUGUGUAUAUAUCCUUCUUCAGCAGAGCGGGAAAAAGCAGCCCAGUGAAGUGGCAAGCAGCGCAAACCACUAACGUCGCCGUUACAUCGUGCUUUAGGGUUUUCCGUUAAUGGAUCAAGAUCAGCAAUGGCUACUCAAUUGUUUGUCUGCCACACUCGACCCCAACCCCGAGGUUCGAUGUUUCGCCGAAGCAUCCCUCGAUCAGGCCUCUCGCCAACCAGGUUUUGGCAGUGCAUUAUCAAAAGUUACUGCAAACAAGGAGCUCGCGGUGGGACUGCGUCAGUUAGCUGCUGUCCUUAUUAAGCAGUUAGUUAAAAAGCAUUGGCAGGAGGGUGAGGACACUUUUGAACCUCCUGUUAUCUCUACUGAUGAAAAGGAAAUCAUCCGAAGAAUGCUUCUAUUGGCAUUGGAUGAUCCUCAUAGAAAAAUUUGCACGGCCAUUGGUAUGGCUGUUGCAUCCAUUGCAGUGCAUGACUGGCCAGAGUUAUGGCCAGAUUUGUUACCAUUUCUUCUAAAUUUGAUCAAUAACCAAGCCAACUUGAAUGGAGUGCAUGGCGCUAUGAGAUGCUUGACUCUUCUCUCUGCGGACUUGGAUGAUAAAAUGGUUCCAACAUUAAUACCUGCUCUCUUCCCGAGUUUGCUGACAAUUGUAUCAUCUCCCCAGAAAUAUGACACAUACAUUCGAUCAAAGGCCCUUUCUAUAAUCUAUUCUUGUACAUCUAUGCUGGGGACAAUGAGUGGUGUCUACAAGGCAGAAACAAGUUCUCUGAUAGCUCCUUUGGUUAAACCAUGGAUGGGCCAAUUCUCGUCUAUUCUAGAAAUUCCAGUUCAAUCUGAAAAUCCCGAUGAUUGGAGUAUCAAAAUGGAGGUUUUGAAGUGCUUGAAUCAGUUCAUUCAAAAUUUUUCAAGUCUCUUUAAAAGUGAAUUUGAGGUUAUACUAGGACCUCUGUGGAAUACAUUUGUCUCUUCUUUGAGAGUUUAUGAGAAAGCUGCUAUUGAAGGAACUGAAGAUUCAUAUGAUGGAAGAUAUGAUUCUGAUGGUUCAGAGAAAAGCCUUGAUUCAUUUGUUAUCCAGCUCUUUGAACUCAUGUUGACUAUUGUGGGUAAUACAAGACUGAGAAAGGUGGUUGGGGGUAAUAUCAGAGAAUUGGUGUACUAUACUAUUGCUUUUCUUCAGAUGACAGAACAGCAGGUUCAUACAUGGUCUGCGGAUGCUAACCAGUUCAUUGCUGAUGAAGAUGAUGCCACUUAUAGCUGCCGCAACUCUGGUGUGCUUUUACUGGAAGAGGUUGUGAAUUCUUUUGACGAUGAAGGAAUUUGUGCUAUCAUAGACAGUACAAAGCAAUGGUUGGACGACUCUCAAAUCAGAAAAGCAGCUGGCAAUGCAAGCUGGUGGAGGAUAAGAGAAGCUACUCUGUUUGCCCUAUCAUCUCUUUCAGAACAACUAUUUGAGACAGAGGAAACCAGGGUUUAUUCAAGUCACUUGAAGGACCUGCUUGAGCAGAUUUUUGCAGUAGACUCUCUAAUAGGUUCUCUUGAAUUCCCAUUUUUAUAUGCUCGUAUUUUUACUUCAGUUGCUAAAUUUUCUUCUUUGAUAAGCAGUGGCUUAGUAGAGCAUUAUCUCUAUUUAGCAAUGAAGGCAGUUACAAUUGAUGUGCCUCCACCUGUAAAAGUAGGUGCCUGUAGAGCACUUUCUAACCUCCUUCCUGAAGCAACGAAUGAAGUUAUCCAAUCGCAGUUGUUGGGUUUAUUUUCAUCCCUCACUGAUCUCCUUAAUCAUGCAUCAGAGGAAACCUUGCACCUGGUACUUGAUACACUGCUUGCUGCAGUGAAAGCAGGUCGUGAAUCAUCAACAGUAGUUGAAAACAUGAUUUCUCCUGUAAUCCUUAAUGUGUGGGCAUCGCAUGUUUCGGAUCCUUUUAUCAGUAUUGAUGCACUUGAAAUUCUUGAGACGAUCAAAAGCAUUCCUGGAUGCAUACAUCCAUUGGUUGCCAGAAUUUUGCCGUAUGUUGGACCAAUUUUGAAUAAACCCCAAGAGCAAACUGAAGGCUUGGUAUCUGGUUCACUAGAUCUGGUAACAAUGUUACUAAAGAAUGCCCCUGCUGAUGUAGUGAAAGCAAUAUAUGAUGUCUCUUUUAAUGCUGUUGUCAAAAUAAUCCUACAAAGUGAUGACCAUAGUGAAAUUCAGAAUGCUACAGAGUGUUUAUCUGCAUUUAUAUCUGGGGGAAGACAAGAAAUUCUUGCGUGGGGAUCUGAUUCUGGAUCAACUAUGAGAAGUUUACUUGAUAUAGCUUCAAGAUUACUAAACCCGGAAUUGGAAAGCUCUGGGUCUCUCUUUGUUGGGAGUUACAUUCUUCAACUUAUUUUGCAUUUGCCAUCACAUAUGGCGGUACAUAUACGAGACUUGGUUGCUGCACUUGUCAAACGAAUGCAAUCUGCUCAAAACGCUGUCCUACGAAGCUCAUUGCUAAUUGUUUUUGCUAGACUGGUACACAUGAGCGUUCCUAAUGUUGGAGAUUUCAUUGAUUUGAUGAUCUCAAUUCCUGCGGAUGGACAUGACAAUUCGUUUGCUUAUGUGAUUUCAGAAUGGACCAAGCUGCAGGGCGACAUACAGGGAGCAUAUCAAAUAAAAGUAACUACAAGUGCCUUGGCCUUGUUGCUAACCAGCAGGCACAAUGAAUUGGGAAAAAUACAUGUCCAAGGCCAUCUAAUUAAGUCUGGUGAGGGAGUGACCACAAGAUCAAAAGCUAAAUCAGCUCCGAAUCAAUGGGUAAUAUUACCACUUCCCACCAAGAUAAAAAACACCAAGAGAGUCAUGGAGAGUAGAUUCAGUAGAAACAUUGGUGAAUGAACAUGGAAGAGCAAUUGAGGAAACGAGGAGGGAAUCUAGAACCAACUUUCAAAGGCUCAUCGAUAUGAUGGAGGAUGUUUUGUGCAGAGUUAAGAACAUAGAAAAGCAGAGGUUCUAUAAACGGGGGAUAGAGUUGGAAGAAGGGAAGAGAUUGGCGAAGAAUAGGAGGAAGACAAAAGGGAGUACCAGCGGGGGUGGAUGAAAAGAGUGGAACUUCCUUCGUUUGAAGGAGGGGAUCCAAUUGGGUGGAUAUCUAGGGCUAAAAAAUUCUUUGAAGUACAAGAGGUCUCACCUAGCGAGAGAUUCAAGUUGGCUUUCAUCAAUAUGGAAGUACGAGCCACUAAUUGGUUCAUAUUUUGGAGAAAGAAAACAAAAAAUCCUUCAUGGGAGGAAUUGACGAAAGCUUUAAUUAGAAGGUUUGGAGGAACGGAUAGAUGCUUGGUGUUUGAAAAAUUGGUUGUCGUCAGACAGAAAGGAGAAGUGGAGGAAUACAUACAGGUAUUUGAGAUGUUAGUUGGACAAGCAACAGACUUGACAGAAGAACAGUUGAUGGGGUACUUCUUUGCGGGUCGGCAUGUUAAUAUUAGAAAUUGGAUCCGACCACACAAUCCCAAGGAUCUAUUGAGAGCCAUGGAGAUCGCUAGAGAUGUGGAAGGAGUUUCAAGAGAUGUAAGCAAGGUUAUCAAACUCUCGAGUUAACUCGUUAACUCAGACGAGUUUGCAUUCCUAGUCUUGGCUUUCGAGUUAACUUGGAAGCAAACAUGGUUUUCGAGUAAACUCGGUGGAAUCGUAACUGAACACGGUGGAAUCGUUUUGAAUCGCGAUUUUGCAAGUUUGAAAUAGGGAGAAACAAAGAAAGGGGAAAUCCUUUUGAGUUUAGGGCACCGUUGCGUUUCUUUCGCUGUUGUUCGUGGUUGUGCCUCGUUGGCUCGUCGUUCACAUGACUUGUGGUCAUGCUCCGUUUGCAUGGUUCACGCUCACCGUUGUGCUUGCUGAUGUGCUUGCCGCCACUCCUGCUCUCGCCUCCUUCGAGCUCUACGUGUGAUAGUGGCUUUGUUGGCGGAUGCAUUAACUGAAAUACAAGAACAAGUUUUGGAAGCUGAUGAUGUGGAUAGUGACUGGGAAGAAGUUGAAGCGGAUGGUAUCGAAAAUGAUAGAGAUUUUCUUU